UGGGGAAUAUUGCACAAUGGGCGAAAGCCUGAUGCAGCAACGCCGCGUGAGUGAUGAAGGUCUUCGGAUUGUAAAGCUCUGUCUUUUGGGACGAUAAUGACGGUACCAAAGGAGGAAGCCACGGCUAACUACGUGCCAGCAGCCGCGGUAAUACGUAGGUGGCGAGCGUUGUCCGGAUUUACUGGGCGUAAAGGGUGCGUAGGCGGAUGUUUAAGUGAGAUGUGAAAUACCCGGGCUUAACUUGGGUGCUGCAUUUCAAACUGGAUAUCUAGAGUGCAGGAGAGGAGAAUGGAAUUCCUAGUGUAGCGGUGAAAUGCGUAGAGAUUAGGAAGAACACCAGUGGCGAAGGNGAUUCUCUGGACUGUAACUGACGCUGAGGCACGAAAGCGUGGGUAGCAAACAGGAUUAGAUACCCUGGUAGUCCACGCCGUAAACGAUGAGUACUAGGUGUAGGAGGUAUCGACCCCUUCUGUGCCGCAGUAAACACAUUAAGUACUCC
rnacentral:rRNA from 1 species